AGUCUUUUGAGGUGUUAUAAAAGAUGGUUUCUGCUCAGUGUUUAAGUAAACAGCCGCGGUAAUUUGACCGUGCAAAGGUAGCAUAAUUAUUUGCCCUGUAAUUGAGGGCUAGAAUGAAUGGGAGAACAAAAUGUCUGCUUUAUUUUUAAGAAAAAAAGAAUUUUCUUUUUUAGUGAAGAAGCUAAAAUUGUUGUGAGGGACAAGAAGACCCUUUUGAGCUUUAGUAAUUAUAUUUUUCUUAAAUGUCAUUACUUUGGUUGGGGCGACCAAGGAAGAAAAGAUCUUCUUUUUAGAACGUUGAUCCGGGGGUUUCGAUAAAUGAACUAAGCUACCAAAGGGAUAACAGCGUAAUUUUUUUUGUGAGUUCUUAUUUAAAAAAAAGAUUGCGACCUCGAUGUUGACUUAUGAUUUCCUGUUGGUGUAGAAGCUAUUAGGGUGGGUCUGUUCGACCUUUAAAACCUU
rnacentral:rRNA from 2 species